AGAGUUUGAUCCUGGCUCAGGAUGAACGCUGGCGGCGUGCCUAAUACAUGCAAGUCGAGCGAACGGACGAGAAGCUUGCUUCUCUGAUGUUAGCGGCGGACGGGUGAGUAACACGUGGAUAACCUACCUAUAAGACUGGGAUAACUUCGGGAAACCGGAGCUAAUACCGGAUAAUAUUUUGAACCGCAUGGUUCAAAAGUGAAAGACGGUCUUGCUGUCACUUAUAGAUGGAUCCGCGCUGCAUUAGCUAGUUGGUAAGGUAACGGCUUACCAAGGCAACGAUGCAUAGCCGACCUGAGAGGGUGAUCGGCCACACUGGAACUGAGACACGGUCCAGACUCCUACGGGAGGCAGCAGUAGGGAAUCUUCCGCAAUGGGCGAAAGCCUGACGGAGCAACGCCGCGUGAGUGAUGAAGGUCUUCGGAUCGUAAAACUCUGUUAUUAGGGAAGAACAUAUGUGUAAGUAACUGUGCACAUCUUGACGGUACCUAAUCAGAAAGCCACGGCUAACUACGUGCCAGCAGCCGCGGUAAUACGUAGGUGGCAAGCGUUAUCCGGAAUUAUUGGGCGUAAAGCGCGCGUAGGCGGUUUUUUAAGUCUGAUGUGAAAGCCCACGGCUCAACCGUGGAGGGUCAUUGGAAACUGGAAAACUUGAGUGCAGAAGAGGAAAGUGGAAUUCCAUGUGUAGCGGUGAAAUGCGCAGAGAUAUGGAGGAACACCAGUGGCGAAGGCGACUUUCUGGUCUGUAACUGACGCUGAUGUGCGAAAGCGUGGGGAUCAAACAGGAUUAGAUACCCUGGUAGUCCACGCCGUAAACGAUGAGUGCUAAGUGUUAGGGGGUUUCCGCCCUUAGUGCUGCAGCUAACGCAUUAAGCACUCCGCCUGGGGAGUACGACCGCAAGGUUGAAACUCAAAGGAAUUGACGGGGACCCGCACAAGCGGUGGAGCAUGUGGUUUAAUUCGAAGCAACGCGAAGAACCUUACCAAAUCUUGACAUCCUUUGACAACUCUAGAGAUAGAGCCUUCCCCUUCGGGGGACAAAGUGACAGGUGGUGCAUGGUUGUCGUCAGCUCGUGUCGUGAGAUGUUGGGUUAAGUCCCGCAACGAGCGCAACCCUUAAGCUUAGUUGCCAUCAUUAAGUUGGGCACUCUAAGUUGACUGCCGGUGACAAACCGGAGGAAGGUGGGGAUGACGUCAAAUCAUCAUGCCCCUUAUGAUUUGGGCUACACACGUGCUACAAUGGACAAUACAAAGGGCAGCGAAACCGCGAGGUCAAGCAAAUCCCAUAAAGUUGUUCUCAGUUCGGAUUGUAGUCUGCAACUCGACUACAUGAAGCUGGAAUCGCUAGUAAUCGUAGAUCAGCAUGCUACGGUGAAUACGUUCCCGGGUCUUGUACACACCGCCCGUCACACCACGAGAGUUUGUAACACCCGAAGCCGGUGGAGUAACCUUUUAGGAGCUAGCCGUCGAAGGUGGGACAAAUGAUUGGGGUGAAGUCGUAACAAGGUAGCCGUAUCGGAAGGUGCGGCUGGAUCACCUCCUUU
rnacentral:rRNA from 1 species